rnacentral:rRNA from 1 species
AGUGAACGCUGGCGGUAGGCCUAACACAUGCAAGUCGAACGGCAGCACAGUAAGAGCUUGCUCUUACGGGUGGCGAGUGGCGGACGGGUGAGGAAUACAUCGGAAUCUACUUUUUCGUGGGGGAUAACGUAGGGAAAAUUACGCUAAUACCGCAUACGACCUACGGGUGAAAGCAGGGGAUCUUCGGACCUUGCGCGAUUGAAUGAGCCGAUGUCGGAUUAGCUAGUUGGAAGGGUAAAGGCCCACCAAGGCGACGAUCCGUGGCUGGUCUGAGAGGAUGAUCAGCCACACUGGAACUGAGACACGGUCCAGACUCCUACGGGAGGCAGCAGUGGGGAAUAUUGGACAAUGGGCGCAAGCCUGAUCCAGCCAUACCGCGUGGGUGAAGAAGGUCUUCGGGUUGUAAAGCCCUUUUGUUUGGAAAGAAAAGCAGCAGGUUAAUACCCCGCUGUUCUGACGGUACCCAAAGAAUAAGCACCGGCUAACUUCGUG